rnacentral:rRNA from 1 species
CCUACGGGGGGCAGCAGUCGAGAAUCAUUCACAAUGGGGGAAACCCUGAUGGUGCGACGCCGCGUGGGGGAAUGAAGGUCUUCGGAUUGUAAACCCCUGUCAUGUGGGAGCAAAUUAAAAAGAUAGUACCACAAGAGGAAGAGACGGCUAACUCUGUGCCAGCAGCCGCGGUAAUACAGAGGUCUCAAGCGUUGUUCGGAAUCACUGGGCGUAAAGCGUGCGUAGGCUGUUUCGUAAGUCGUGUGUGAAAGGCGCGGGCUCAACCCGCGGACGGCAAAUGAGACUGCGAGACUAGAGUAAGGGAGGGGGAACCGGAAUUCUCGGUGUCGCAGUGAAAUGCGUAGAUAUCGAGAGGAACACUCGUGGCGAAGGCGGGUUCCUGGACAUUAACUGACGCUGAGGCACGAAGGCCAGGGGAGCGAAAGGGAUUAGAUACCCUUGUAGUC